CCCUAAAAGCUUUAUUUUUAGUAUUAGUUUGAGUUUAAAAUAAAAUAGAGAGUUUAACUGGGGUAGUUUUUUUGUAAAAUCUGAGGUUGUAGAAGGCAUGUAAAGUGGGGUUAGGUCCUUUAGAUAAGGAUAAUUUGAGUGAGUUACUUUAGGGAUAACAGCGUAAUAGUCCUAGGGAGAUCGUAUCUAUGGGGCUGAUUGCGACCUCGAUGUUGAAUUAAAAGCUCAGUGUAGAGCAGA
rnacentral:rRNA from 1 species